rnacentral:rRNA from 1 species
ACGCUCGACACCUACGGGAGCAGCAGUGGGGAAUAUUGCACAAUGGGGGAAACCCUGAUGCAGCGACGCCGCGUGGAGGAAGAAGGUCUUCGGAUUGUAAACUCCUGUUGUUGGGGAAAAAGAGGAUGGUACCCAACAAGGAAGUGACGGCUAACUACGUGCAGCAGCCGCGGUAAUACUGAGCGGGCGUGGCGAAGGACG